rnacentral:rRNA from 1 species
GCAUGGAUUAGGCAUGCAAGUCGAGCGCGAAGCCCCGCUUCGGCGGGGUGGAGAGCGGCGAAAGGGUGAGUAACGCGUGAACAAUCUGCCCUGAAGUUCGGGAUAGCCCAUGGAAACGUGGAUUAAUACCGGAUGUGGCGGUCGAUUUAUGGUCGAUUUGCUAAAGGCUUGCUGCUUCAGGAGGAGCUCGCGUAUCAUCAGCUAGUUGGUAAGGUAACGGCUUACCAAGGCGACGACGAUUAGGUGGUCUGAGAGGACGAUCACCCACACUGGGACUGAGACACUGCCCAGACUCCUACGGGAGGCUGCAGUCGAGAAUCUUCCGCAAUGCGCGAAAGCGUGACGGAGCGAUGCCGCGUGCAGGAUGAAGGCCUUCGGGUCGUAAACUGCUGUCACUCGGGACGAAUUUUGACGGUACCAUGAGAGGAAGCACCGGCUAACUACGUGCCAGCAGCCGCGGUAAUACGUAGGGUGCGAGCGUUGUUCGGAUUUAUUGGGCGUAAAGGGUCCGCAGGGGGUUUAUCAAGUCUGAUGUGAAAUCCCAAGGCUCAACCUUGGAACUGCAUUGGAAACUAGUAAACUAGAGUAUCGGAGAGGUAAAUGGAAUUCCUGGUGUAGCGGUGGAAUGCGUAGAUAUCAGGAAGAACACCGAGAGCGAAGGCAAUUUACUGGACGAUCACUGACCCUCAGGGACGAAAGCGUAGGUAGCGAACAGGAUUAGAUACCCUGGUAGUCCACGCCGUAAACGUUGUGAACUUGUUGGGGGGGAUUUAGCCCCUUCCGUGACGCAGCUAACGCUUUAAGUUCACCGCCUGGGGACUACGGCCGCAAGGCUAAAACUCAAAGGAAUUGACGGGGGCCCGCACAAGCGGUGGAGCAUGUGGCUUAAUUCGAGGCAACGCGAAGAACCUUACCUGGAUUUGACAUAUACAGGACCGCCCUGGAAACGGGGUUUCUCUUCGGAGUCUGUAUACAGAUGCUGCAUGGCUGUCGUCAGCUCGUGCCGUGAGGUGUUCGGUUAAGUCCGGCAACGAGCGCAACCCACGUCACUAGUUACCAGCGAGUAAUGUCGGGGACUCUAGUGAGACUGCCCGUGCUAAGCGGGAGGAAGGCGUGGACGACGUCAAGUCCGUAUGGCUCUUACAUCCAGGGCUGCACACGUGCUACAAUGGCAGGUACAAUGGGACGCCACUCCGCGAGGAGGCGCUAAUCUCGAAAACCAGCCCCAGUUCGGAUCGUAGUCUGCAACUCGACUCCAUGAAGUUGGAAUCGCUAGUAAAGGCGUAUCAGCUACGACGCCUUGAAUACGUUCCCGGGCCUUGUACACACCGCCCGUCACAUCAUGGAAGCUGGCUGCACCCGUAGUCGCUGACCGAACCCGCAAGGGACGGAGGCGCCGAAGGUGUGGCUAGUGACU